UACGUAGGGUCCGAGCGUUGUCCGGAAUUAUUGGGCGUAAAGAGCUCGUAGGCGGUCUGUCGCGUCGGCUGUGAAAACCCGGGGCUCAACCCCGGGCCUGCAGUCGAUACGGGCAGACUAGAGUGCGGUAGGGGAGACUGGAAUUCCUGGUGUAGCGGUGAAAUGCGCAGAUAUCAGGAGGAACACCGAUGGCGAAGGCAGGUCUCUGGGCAUUAACUGACGCUGAGGAGCGAAAGCAUGGGGAGCGAACAGG
rnacentral:rRNA from 1 species